GACGAACGCUGGCGGCGUGCUUAACACAUGCAAGUCGAACGGUGAAGCGAGUGCCUUCCCUCGUGGAUCAGUGCCGAACGGGUGAGUAACACGUGAGUAACCUGCCCAUCACUCUGGGAUAAGCACUGGGAACGGUGUCUAAUACUGGAUACGACCAACCCUUGCAUGGGGUGUUGUUGUAAAGAUUUAUCGGUGAUGGAUGGACUCGCGGCCUAUCAGCUUGUUAGCGGGGUAAUGGCCCACCAAGGCGCCGACGGGUAGCCGGCCUGAGAGGGUGACCGGCCACAAUGGGACUGAGAGAGGGCCCAGAAUGCUACGGGAGGCAGCAGUGGGGAAUAUUGCACAAUGGGCGAAAGCCUGAUGCAGCGACGCCGCGUGAGGGAUGACGGCCUUCGGGUUGUAAACCUCUUUCAGCAGGGAAGAAGCGAAAGUGACGGUACCUGCAGAAGAAGCACCGGCUAACUACGUG
rnacentral:rRNA from 1 species